CAGUGGGGAAUCUUAGACAAUGGGCGCAAGCCUGAUCUAGCCAUGCCGCGUGAGUGAAGAAGGCCUUAGGGUCGUAAAGCUCUUUCGCCAGGGAUGAUAAUGACAGUACCUGGUAAAGAAACCCCGGCUAACUCCGUGCCAGCAGCCGCGGUAAUACGGAGGGGGUUAGCGUUGUUCGGAAUUACUGGGCGUAAAGCGCACGUAGGCGGAUUAGAAAGUAUGAGGUGAAAUCCCAGGGCUCAACCCUGGAACUGCCUCWUAAACUCCUAAUCUAGAGUUCGAGAGAGGUGAGUGGAAUUCCGAGUGUAGAGGUGAAAUUCGUAGAUAUUCGGAGGAACACCAGUGGCGAAGGCGGCUCACUGGCUCGAUACUGACGCUGAGGUGCGAAAGUGUGGGGAGCAAACAGGAUUAGAUACCCUGGUAGUCCACACCGUAAACGAUGAAUGCCAGUCGUCGGAUAGUAUACUWGUCGGUGACACACCUAACGGAUUAAGCAUUCCGCCUGGGGAGUACGGUCGCAAGAUUAAAACUCA
rnacentral:rRNA from 1 species